CUUAAAACACCAUGCUCAUCUUCCCCACUAAGCUCUAGGCUCAUUCCCUGCCUCAGUCAUCCCAUGACUGGGUCACCUCAACACUCUGGGCCACAGUCUGCUUCUUUUCAUACCAGGAAGUUAUAAGCGUGUCAAAGGCCAAGAAUUCCCUUGUCUCCCAGCUGGGGCAUGGUCAACUGAACUCACUUGGACUUGUUACUUCCAAACUGGUGUUCGUAAUGUGUGCUGUGUAUGGGAAUGAUGGCUGUUUGAGUUCACUGAGGUGCUGUCUCCAGAACGAUGGGCCGUUGCUCCCCUAUCCUCCCCCCUAGUGCACUGCAACUUUCAAACCCAAGCAUGUUUGAAACAACAAAGUGUCCUCCAUGGCUCCUUAUUUGGGAAUAGGCUGGCCUGCGGACUCUGUGAGAACAAAGCAAGAGAACGCCAGAACAGAGUCAAAACAUCGUAUCCAUGAGAACAGCUAGGUCAGCCGUUUCCAACAGAGGUCACACUGUUUAUCCCAAGAUAGAAAAAAAUGUCUACAGUGGGCAAGAGAUAAAGACUCUGGAAGCUCAGCCGUGGGAAGCUCAAUGUGGAGAGAAGGCUCAGUUGGGAACCCCCUGCUACCUGCCUCAACUUCCCCAGUGGGUUUCUGGUAGAUGUUGAGAGUGAGCGGUUGGACGGCAUCGUUGCUGUGUGUUGCUAUUUGUUCUUCUUGGAAACCUUACCAGACAGGACGCUUUGCUUUGACCGAGCCUUUGUUCAUCAGACAUUCUGGCCGGCACCCCCAGUUGAUUUUUGCUAGAUGUUUUGAUCACCCCAUCCAAUGAUAUUUAAAUACCCGGCUGUCUCUUGCUAUUUCCUCUUUUACUUUGGCUUACCAUGUUCUUAGUGAACUAGGUCGUUCAAAAACAGAAAGAACGGCUGUCGUAAAUCAUUCUCUGGCCCAUACAAAACGGUGUCAAGGAGGAAGGGUACCCUUGCCUCUCCCCAGCAGAGCCUCAAAGGUAAUUUUUAAAAGUAAUAGGAAUAGAAAAGUAAGCCGGGGAAAGUGAGAGAUGGUGAUGGGUGAGCGGACAUCCUUCGAACCGGCCCUCCCUCUAGCACAAUCAGUUCUUUCUAGAACCAGGGGAGGAAGAACGGUGGGUGCUGCCGCUUUUCCAAGCCCCACAAGCCCCACAGCAUUGUUCGUUGCUCAUAAAGUGUCUUUAUGUCACCCUCUUUCUUUCCCCUGAGGUAUUUGGCCUGAGCAACUUCACAGAUAAGCUUUGAAAAGUGAAACCAGUUUCCACUCUUGCAGCGGCAGCCCUAGGGGUCCUUCGGGCAUUAUCACCAGCCAUCUAAGUUGACAGCUGUGAUCUUUACUGUCUUGUGCACCUGAAAACUACAUCAUGACAUUUAAGCCAUGCUCGCUAGCUGAGAUGGCCCCAGCAGCAGCCACAAAUCCCAGGCAGAAUGGAAAUGCUAAAUUCCGUGUUUGGGGCUUGAUUUGAAGGGCAAGAACACUCAGAUUCAUGAGGCUGAACUUCUAGCAACGGUUAACCUUGACUGCCAACUUGAUUGGGUCUGAAACUAAUUAAACAACAUGCCUAAGAGCAGAUUAGUGAGACGAUUUCAAGGAUGCUUUAACGGAAGGGACUCUCCCAUGUGUAUGUAGGACCUUCAGCCCAGAGGUAAAGGAGUCCUAGGAAAAAGCAGUGCUCCACCUACCCACCUUUACUUUCUGUUGGUAAGUGCAUCUGCUCUGUUGUUGCUGCUGCUGCCCCUUCAAACCCUGACUUAAGAACCCAGCUGCCUCUGCCUUCUAACAUCAACUGACAUCAGUGGCUCUCCAGACCUUAGGUGCCAAGACUGGGACUGUGAGAUACUCAUCCUCAUGGGCUGAGCAGGUUCUCAGCCUGUCCAGCCGUUGUUGGACUACCGAGACUGAAUCAUACUGAUAAAUCCCCUUUGCAAAAUAUACUUAUUCUGACCAUUCCGUUCUUAGAGAAUUCUAACACACGCCUCAAUGUUGAGAGGUGGGACCUAGUGGGAGGCCUGAGCCACUAGACAGACCCCUUCAUGACAGCCACAGAAAGCACACUAAGACAUCCAUGGUGUACCUCUAUCUCAAGGCGACACCCAUGGAGACUCUCCCACCAGCACCUAUGAGCCAAGGAAGACCAACUCCCUCCUCUCAGGGUCCCACCCAUGUCCCCAGCACAGACGCCCCUACUGGCCACACAGUUCUGCGCAGCUCUAUCUGUCCUCAGGAGUGGUAGGGAAAUUGGUGUCCUCUUGUGGCAGUAAGGCUCAGGGACAGAUCUUUCCUGUUGAUCAGGGAGAAUGACCCAGGACUUCUUGGUCACAUCAGCCAGCUUGGGGACAUGAGGUCAGGUGACUCGCUGUGGAGAGACUUCAAGUUCGAGUUACUCUACUCUCUUGCUUCCUCUUGAGAUGGCCAGAGGAGAAGGCAGACACUUGGCAGAAAAAAGUCAUCAGGGUUUGCUGCACAAGUGUGAGGACUUGAGUUCGAACCUCAACACCUGCAUGAAAGCUGGCCCCAGCGAUGAGCACCUGUCAUUCCAACCCUGGGGAGGCGGAGACAGCAAGUGCAGCUGAUGUCCACACCUGCUGGGGCCAUGUGUGAAUGGAGACACCUACUACAGAGGAGUGGGAGGCUCUCAACAGGGUCAGGCAACAACAGCUCCCCAGGGAAGGCGGUGUGAAGGCAGCCCAGCAUUGACCAUCUUAAGGAAGAGAGCCCGUUCCGGUCAGUGAGGUGGCCCAGCAGGUAAAAGUGCUUGCCAUCAAAUCUGGGACCCAUGUGAUAGAAGAAGAAAACUGACUCCA
rnacentral:sRNA from 1 species